AGCCCAGACUCCUACGGGAGGCAGCAGUGGGGAAUAUUGCACAAUGGGGGAAACCCUGAUGCAGCAACGCCGCGUGAGUGAAGAAGUCAUUCGUGAUGUAAAGCUCUAUCAGCAGGGAAGAAAAUGACGGUACCUGAGUAAGAAGCCCCGGCUAACUACGUGCCAGCAGCCGCGGUAAUACGUAGGGGGCAAGCGUUAUCCGGAUUUACUGGGUGUAAAGGGAGCGUAGACGGCCAGACAAGUCUGAAGUGAAAAUUCAGCGCUUAACGCUGGAAGUGCUUUGGAAACUGCCGGGCUGGAGUGCAGGAGGGGCAGGCGGAAUUCCUAGUGUAGCGGUGAAAUGCGUAGAUAUUAGGAGGAACACCGGUGGCGAAGGCGGCCUGCUGGACUGCAACUGACGUUGAGGCCCGAAAGCGUGGGGAGCAAACAGGAUUAGAUACCCUGGUAA
rnacentral:rRNA from 1 species